rnacentral:rRNA from 1 species
CCUACGGGAGACAGCAGUGGGGGAUAUUGCACAAUGGGGGAAACCCUGAUGCAGCGACGCCGCGUGUGGGAAGACGGUCUUCUGGAUUGUAAACCACUGUCCCCAGGGACGAAAAUGACGGUACCUGGGGAGGAAGCUCCGGCUAACAACGUGCCAGCAGCCGCGGUAAUACGUAGGGGGCAAGCAUUGUCCGGAAUUACUGGGGGUAAAGGGAGAGUGGGCGGGGAUGCAAGUUGGGUGUCAAACCUACCGGCUCAACCGAUAGUCGCACUCAAAACUGCAGCUCUUGAGUGAAGUAGAGGCAGGCGGAAUUCCUAGUGUAGCGGUGAAAUGCGUAGAUAUUAGGAGGAACACCAGUGGCGAAGGCGGUCUGCUGGACUUUUACUGACGCUGAGGCUCGAAAGUGUGGGGAGCAAAAAGGAUUAGAUACCCCAGUAGUC